UCACAUAACACUUGAGAAAUCAGUGGCUUUGUAUGAAAUUUGUCUUUAUUUCUAGGGAUGUGCUGUCCUCAAGGGAAACGCUCCAUUUCACAAGAUACGGGCAGCAAUUCAUGUACAGCAAUGAGAGCAAAAUCCUCAAUUCAUACAAAUGAAGGAGGCCGCAACGGCAUGUUUCAGAUCACAUGGACUUGAGAAAGGGUCCAUGUGAUCCGAAACAUGUUGUGGACUAAAAAAGUAGCAUCACAGUUCUGCAGUUGUUGUGAUCUCCUUCAUUUUGUAUGAAUUGAUAAAUUUCUGGCCUUUACGGUGUGACCUGAGAGGUUGAGCCCACAGGAUAAGAAACUCAAGGGACGUGCUGAGUAAAACUACACAAGUUUUUAGAGCAAAAUCCUGUCUGUGACCGAUCAAGGGUAGGACUACAUGGAUGUUUUCAGCGUGAUCCGACGCAAUGCGACAAAAUGCCUGCGACAAGUUGCAUGCAACAGAAAUAAGAGUAAAGUGAAAGCAGGCCCGGAGCAUGUGCAGGGAAUCAGCAGGAGGAAAUGGGGAGCUGGGGGCUCCUUGGAAGCAUGGCGCUUCACAUGCUGAAUCCAUAAGGUGAGCUUUUCUACCCUACUCUUAGUUGAGCUUUCUUUGACUUGCUAUACUGCAUAGUGAACUCUAAGGCCACUCAGACCAUCAUUAUUCCCAUAAAGCUGUGUUAGUAGCGAUCAGCAUCUGAUAAGCAGGAUGGGGUGAAAUGACUAAAUGUUUGGCUUUGUGGUGUAACAUUUCCUGCAUGGUAAGCUUUAUUUAAUACUUAAAGGCAGGCCCGGACUGGCAAUCUGUGGGUUCUGGCAAAUGCCAGAGGGGCUGC